UUUUUUUUUUUUUGCUUUUCUGAUUUUUGCACAGGUGACAGAAUAUAGACAGCAGCACACAGCAACAUCAGAUUCAUCGAAUACAAUAGAAGAUUAGUCUCCGAAUACAAUUCAUCAUAUUAGUCUCCGAAUUCAAAAGACCGAACAAAGAUAAAACAUUACAAGUCUCAAGACCGCGAGUAUCGAGUUUGCCUUCACAUUACAAGUCGAUAUCGAUCAUCUAAACUACCAUCACAUAGAAGAGAGCUGUGGUCAUCACGAUGAGCAUCAUCGCGAUCAAACUGGUCUUCAUCCGGUUCCUCCAACGCUCCCUCCUCUCUCCCUCUAGAUAGCAGGCGUAUCUACAUUCGGCCUCCGCCCUAGUGGUGUACCCUUUGUAACUGUUACCGCUGAAACGGUGAACCUGUCUCCGACACUCCUCCCAGUCGUCGUAGACUCCGGGAACCUUACCCUUGUACACGACAUACGACGGCAUCUCUAUGCACAAGCCAAACAACAGACAAUACAUAAGCAAUAUGUAAGUAUGCAACAAAAGGAUCGGAAGAGAAAAGGAAGACAUUAAUAGCACGAUUCAUGGUCCUACUAAUAAAUAGCAUUCAUUACAUCUAAGUUGAACGACUGUCCAAACCAAAGAGACAUACGAAUUCAUUAAAGUAUAAUUACAACAUGAGCCAAUCAAUGUUUCAGAACUACACAUCACUACUUUCGACUCGACUCAUCGGACAGGAACGUGGAUGAAGCCGCCGUCUGUCGUGAUGGUCAUUAAAUCGCGGUCGUUGUCACCCUGCAUUUGUAGCAUUUCAUCUAUCUCACUGUUGGACGGUUGAUAUCUGAGGAAGAACUGCCCCGAGGUAUGAAGGACAUCUUGAUGGAUGAUGUCCGCAAACUCCGACUGGAUGCGAAAGAAUUCUUGUCUGAGGUCCGCAUCCUGGACUGCCGACAAGCUCGCGGCCCAAUCUUUGAGAUUAUCUGGUAGCAGAAGUUGAUGAUGGUCCCUUACGAUCGCCCGCAUGUGAUGGAGGGCGUAGUAGGCAUCCUUCUGACCGCCAGGCGGCUGCUUGACGCAGCAGAACUUCGUAUUGUGUGAGAACAUGUGCUUGCCGUACUUACGAACUGCCCUAAUGAGGGUGCCUCCAGAUUUGGCGUAGGCGGGGAGAACAUCAUCAAGAACUUUCUUGACAUUUGUGUAGUCUAUCUUGGAGUUACGGUUCGGGUCUAAAUACGUGGCCAUGGAAUAUUUCGGGCUUAAGAGAAUGAGUGUGCAAUGUGUGUCACUGCAUAGAACACGGAAUGUUAGAAAAAAAAGAACGAUCGAAAUCUAAGAAAUCAUAUGUUACGGGGCGGUUAAGGGAUGACUUACUCGGGAAAGUAAACCACAAGGAAGUUAUCCUUAUCUGGGUUUGCCAGAAUGACGCCUUCGAGGUGUGAACUCGCAACUUGGCGGUCCCCAGCACUGCUCAAGUGCUUGGCACGCAUGUAGAAGGGGUCGACUAUCAUGAUGUCCGGGGUCUUGUUUCUAAUGAUCCGCAUCUCCAUACUCAGCAAAAAUAGCCGAACGAAGGUGUAGUGCAGCGGAUGAAGGUUAAACAUAGCAAAGAUGUCAUCAAACCACAGGACCCCCGAUGUCGCCAUCCACAAAGCUCUUGCCCUCUGGCACCUUGGCCACGAAAACCGGGUAUGCCACAUCCUUCUCUUUGAGAUGCCGCUUCUCUAUAGAAAGAACACUGUCGUGCAGACUCCGCAUAGCACCGGUUGCAGCAUUCAGCAUAUUUGGCGGUAGCAUCGCCCUACCCGCCACAUGCACCCUCCUCGAGAUAUCCUUAGGUGAAGGUGGCCCGUCCUGAGCACGGAUCGAACUCGGUGCCGGCUGGCUCGCACCGGCGCCCUUGUUAGUCUUUCGUUUCCGUCCCUUCUUCUUGAUCUCCUGUAAUGGGACCGAGUUCUGCUCACAGACCGCCUUCUUGAGCAUGUUGGGGCUGAUAAUAUUUCGCACCUCAGCUAUCUGAGGCUCGGUGAAGGCGGGAGCUGGAGGCGUGUCCUGAGAACUGAACGCCAGACGACGCCUGUUGCAAUUGGAUUUCUCCGCCGUACCAGCUAGAUCGCGGUCGUCUUGAUUGGGUUCUUGAGAAAGAGGCCCGCAGAACUUGUCAGCGUACCCAUGUUCGGCAAAGUACUUAUCAACUUUGGUAAAUGUACCGUCGUCGUUGUCGUCGCCGUCCGGAUCCUGUGCCAUAGGGCUGUCCGGAUCCUGUGCCAUAGGGAUGUCCGGCAGGUCCGGUAGCGUUGCGGCGUUCUCGCCAUGACUUGGCGCCGGCACGACUGGCGGUCUUGUCUGUGGGGUGGUGUCCCCCGCCCCCAAACGAAUCUGGCUCUUCGGCCAAAGCAGGGGCCAGUUUACGCAGGUGCUGAGGGUCAUCUCAUCUUCUUCGUCGGCCCCAGCGGGUCGAAUCGAAGGUAACAGCUCGUCGCAGCCUGGCAGCACCCGAACCACUUCAAACAUAUAGAUUGUGGGUUGCAUCGGAUUACCAUGGAACGUGGGGUUGCCCGGUUGAACGAUUCUGCCCUUGGUGACAUCGACCAACUCGGCGCCCAUGAAGUGCAGAAGAGUGCAAGGAACGUCGGCGGUGCCCUGCGAAAACAUGUACAGGGCAUCAGGGAUGCCCAGUCAAAGGCAAGGAGAUGAAGUCAUCAGCCGAGAGGCUUAGUUACCGUGAUGCCGUCGAGCUCGUAUAAUGUCGAGGCACCGCCAACGGCGGGCGUGCAACUGACGGAGGGGGCACUUGCUGGCGAGGUGCUGGCCGGCGUACACCCGGGUGCAUUAAGCUCCAAUGCCCGUGCCGGCGCCGGAGACACGAAUACCGCCUCCGCCGAAGACACCAAUGGCGCCGCCGGAGACACCAAUGGAGCCGCCUGCGCGCUGUGCGAGUUGCUGGCCGUGAAGCUGGGAACCGGGGGAGGCCCCUGUUGGCCGCCCGCAAUCCACGCCGUCAUCCCAUGAAUCAACGUAGGCACCAUGGCGUUGAGCGUCGUUCCAAGUUGUUGUUGCACUUGCUCUUGGACAAGCUCCGGAAUCCGCGCCACUUGUGCCUUGAGUUCUUCAACCUCGCACGUCUGGCUUUCCGAGCUGGUCUUUUUCUCCUUCCGCACACCAGCGGUAUAGUAUGACCCCCAUUUUGUGGACAAGCCUUUGCCGGCCACACGACCAGCUGACGUCGGCUUAGUGAGCUUAUCCUUAUUUUUCAUUACGUUCAGCGCCCUAUUUAAAGGGGUGUCGAAAGGGGAGCUCUUAGACGACCCCGCGCUACUGCUUUCAGUGUCCUGCGAAAGGAACGUGAACCAUUUAGAAAUAUUGGGGAUUAAUUAGAGUGCAACCAUAUGGAGCUAAUUACGCGGGGGUGUAUUCCUUACCGGAAGAAGCUCAAGCGCCCUGGUCUUCGGAUCCGUGGUAAGCUCCCUUGUUAUCGGGUCCUCCUUGUACCGGGCCCUGACAUAGUUCCUGGUCUGCUUGUCACCGCUGUAUUUCUCGAAGCGGGGCGGUAGGCAUUGCUCGGCACGCUCCGCGUCCUCCUUGUCCCAUAAAGGCUCCGCCACUCUGUAACCGCCGGGACCGAGUUUGUGUUCCCCUAAGUUCAACUCCCGCAUUUCUUUCCCCAACUGACUUGAUUCGGAGGUUGCACUGCUCUCGCACUUGAUCUUGAACUCCUUGUACUCAUCUUCGCUCAUCAAAGGAUAUUUUGCCUUGAUCUUCUCAUAAGUAUCACCUUUAUCAAUCAUUCUCUUCACCGCGCUUUUCCAAGUAGACAGGGCCGUGCUCAUCUUUGUGAGGGCGGCACUGUUCACUUUAUUCCCUGAGAGGCGUGUGUUUUCAAAUUCGGCGGGGAACUUGUAUCGUUCGUGCAGCUUCUUCAAGAGAAGGUUGCGCAAAUUCCCUCGGUCUUUAUGCCUAAGGUUCUCAGUGUUGAUCGAGACGGUGCUCCGGAGAAUGCACCCAAGCUGAACCGAGUACCCCUUGACUAUAUGUUUGGGCUCCGUUGGAUUCCCGUCGGAGUCCACUUGAGUGAAUUCCUCCUUGACGGUGCGGAGCGCAUUCGGGCGUCGGUCCUUCCUUUGCUUCUUCGGUUGGCUGCCAUCUGUGUGUGUGCCGCCAUCAUCCGUGGUGGCAUCCUCGGCGGCACCAUUAGUGGUGUCAUCCCCGACGCCACUAGGGGUUGUGUAAUUAGGAUCGGUGUUUUCCGCGGCGUCCUCAUAGCGGUGAGGUUGUUCCUCCAUCUCCUGGGACAACUCCCAGAAUUGCUUGCCGCCCAAACCACCGGCCUCAUCGUUGUGGGCCAUGUUUCGCUCUAAAUAGGAAAAAAGAUUGGUCAAAAAGUUAGUUAUUAUCAAGGAAUAAGAUCAUGGUCUCAUCAUUUAGGGUUUGUCGACACCGAGGCACCCUAAAAGCCUAAGCUUUCAUCAUUUAGGGUUUGUCGACGCCGAGGUACCCUAAAAGCCUAAGCGUACAUCAUUUAGGUUCUCAUCGACACCGAGGCAUCCCGGGCAGCCAAGUUAAGUUUUCAUCAUUUAGGGUUUAUCGAUGCCGAGGCACCCUAGGUUGGGCCUAAUCACUUGGCACUAAUCACUUGGCUCUAUUGCCACCUAUGGUUUAAUACAGCAAGAAUAAAGGGGCAGUUGAUCCUACUUAAUUAAGUACUAAGAUACCCCGGCCCAUGCAUUAGUAGCAAGUACCUCGUAUGUCCGAUUUUUAGCAAAGUCAUGCUAAAAUUCACGGGAAAUUUCAGCAUGACCUUUGCUGAAAAUAGGACAUAUGGAGUACCCGAAUUUGCCGGAACGGAAGUUAAUCGACAUUCCGGCAAACUCAAGGGCCUCUCGGGGUACCUGCAAAAUCAUCACGACACGAAGGGCCUCUCAAGGGCCUCAAGCAGCAGCGGCGUCUCCCAGGACCCCAUUUUUUUUGCUAAAUUUCUUUGAGCAACAAUCAGAGCAGAAAAUUCAGCAUAUUUCUAUACAACAGCAUUGUAAAGAUGAAGAACAGUUCUACAACAGCCCAUUUAUAUACAAUAGCAUCUUUGGUCAUACCAAUUUCUGAAACAAUUCAAAUCUGAACUGUAUCUUUGGUCAUACAAAUCUCUGAAACUAUAAAAAUCUGAAAUAUAUAUUUGGUCAUACAAAUUUAUGGAACUAAUCAAAUCUGAACUGUAUCUUUGGUCAUACAAAUCUCUGAAAAUUUUCUAAAUCUAUGGUCAUACAAAUUUAUGGAACUAAUCAAAUUCUGGAUUCAGAAGUUGGACUUCAAAAAUCUUUCAUGCAAAUUACUUGAAGUACUGAAGUUAAAUUGUUUUCAAUCUGUCCAAAUAUUGUCAGUGACAAUUAGGGUCAUUCAGAAAGAUGUUGAAGAGAAGAAAUUAACUAUGUAUAGUUUAUUCUUUUUGUACCAGGAACUAUUUUAGUUUAUUAUUUAUUGUACCAGGGAGGAAUAUAACAAUCUUUUUUGGUAUAUGUCAGGUUUUGGCUGCAUUUGCAAAUGCAUUCAAUGUACUGCAACCCUCGAGUCAUCUGAUGUUCCUGAAUCAUUGUAGUUUAGGCACCAUACAAGAUUGUUAGUUCAAUGUGCUUUAUAUCCUAGUUAUACUACUGCAGGAAAGGAGGAUCAUCAUACACACAUAUAUAUAUAGCAAUUGACAAGAGCUUCAUCAUUUUUAGUAACAACAAUACAUAUAUAGCAAUUGGAAGCAAACAGAUGUACACAUAAGAUAGAAAUGUAGUGCUGAAAGUUUAAUGCUUACAAAAGACUUGCUGAAAUAGUGAAAAAUAUGGAGUCACCAAGCUGGCUAAGAAACUCCCAAAGUCCACUAGCAAAUCCAAGAUCUAAUCCUGUUACACACAUCAUAACAAUUUAAGACAAUUAGGAUAAGGAUAGUAGGAAAUGAAAAAGAAAGAGCUCAAAAAACAAUCACAACAGAAAAAUAAUAAAAACCUAGUCCUAGAAGAAAAUAAAUCCUAAAAGAAAAGAAAUCCUAAAAUCUGGAGCAAGUCCUAGGAGUAGUAGUCGAAAUAAAAGGUAACAAUGAUAUUGCAGGAAUAGACCUUCCUAAAAUAGGAAUGAUAAUCUACUGUCAAUAACCAUUGAAUAAAACAGAUUUACCAACAAAAUCUAAAAGGACACCUGCCUAUCAGAUUCAAACAGUUUAUCAUUUUCUAAAGCCAUAAGCACAACAAUCAUGAUCAGAACUAACACUACUUCAGACAAAUAACUAAUUAAGCGCCAAAAAAGCAAAUAAACACUAAUCAGCAGGCACUCUCCUACUACAGCUAACCAAAUAAUCAGUACUAAUACAGCUAACAAUGGCAUAGCAUGGUUAAUAAGGCCACCGAUUUACCUACCAGCAUCCUUUGAAGCAAGGAUAAGGACCCAAAUAAUCAGUACUAAUACAUAGGACAGUAGUUCGACAAUUCUAUCAAGAAAUCAUAACAGAGCACUAAUUCCUUAGUCAUCCUCCAGGAACACUACUGAACAAUUUAUAAGGACCAAAAACAAUAUGCAGGAGCACCAAUUUGUAUGACCAAAUGGUAGCUACAUGUAUGGAAAUCUUAACAACAUGUGAUUUGCACGCAUCUAUCUAUAGUGGCCAUUACUUAUAUCUCAAUCUGAGAAACCUUAGGAACCCUAUGGUUAAUUGAAGAUAAGCAUGGCAGGAAUUGAAAGUAUGGCAGCAAACUGACAACAAGAAGCAGCAGCCGCGUGACAGCGGCGGCGGCAACGCACGAGCACGUGGGGCCCGGCAUCCGCGCACGAGCGCGCGGGAAAGGCGGCCGCAAGAAGCAGCAGCGGCGGCACGACGGGGCGGCGGCAGCGAGCUCCUGCUCCUAACCCUAGGUCGCCGCCCCGUGGGGGCAUGGGGAUGAGCGGGGGAGAGAGGGAGGGAGGGACAAAGACUAACCGUCGUCGAUGAGCAGCAGCCGCGCGGGGAGGCUCGCGCUGUCGUCGAGGAGCGCAUCCGUCGAGCAGAUACCUCCACAGACGGUGAGGCCGCGGUGGCCGGAGGUGGAAGAAGGCGCAAACGGCGAGGAGGAGUCCGGCGAGGGUCGGGGCGGUGGGGUGGGGGCGCGGGGGCACGGGGGCGGCGGGGGUGGAGUCCGGUGAGGGUUGGGGUGGCGGCGUCGUGGGUCGGGGCAGCGCGCGGGUGGAUCUGGUGGCGAGGGAGAGAGGGUCGAAGGGGAUCUGGCGAGGGAGAGGGAGGAUAGCUAGGGGAGGGUUCUAAUGGCGCACCACCCUACCAUGCGCCAUAAGUAUGACUAUUCUAAUGGCGCACCUCCCCUCGGUGCGCCAUUAGAAUUUUGUUUUAAUCUAGCCCACUAACCAUAUCUACACCCUAACCCUAUCUACAAUAGAACCCACCCACUAGCCCGACUGGUCAGCACGCAGCACACACACUAGGAGGUCUUGGGUUUGAUUCCCAGGCUCCCUAAUAUUUUUUUAUGCAUUUUAAAUGCUGUUUUUGAUAUUUAUUUGUGUUUAAAUAUGUUCAAACUUGUUUAAAUCAUAACAGUAAUUUUUUUUAUAAAAACAGUAAUAAUUUUUUAAAAAAUAUGUUCAAAUUUGUUACUUGAAAAUAUCAUUGGCAGCGUCGGUGGAGCGGGGGAGGGUGCGGGGGGUGCCCGUUGGCGGCGGUGGAGCNNNNNNNNNNNNNNNNNNNNNNNNNNNNNNNNNNNNNNNNNNNNNNNNNNNNNNNNNNNNNNNNNNNNNNNNNNNNNNNNNNNNNNNNNNNNNNNNNNNNNNNNNNNNNNNNNNNNNNNNNNNNNNNNNNNNNNNNNNNNNNNNNNNNNNNNNNNNNNNNNNNNNNNNNNNNNNNNNNNNNNNNNNNNNNNNNNNNNNNNNNNNNNNNNNNNNNNNNNNNNNNNNNNNNNNNNNNNNNNNNNNNNNNAGCGGGGGAGGGUUGCGGUGGGUCGGCGGCGGCGGUGGAGCUAGCGGGGGAGGGUGCGGGUGGGAUCGAGAUGGAGGGGGAUCGAGAUCGAGAUGGAGGGGGAAUCGAGAUCGAGAUGGAGGGGGAUCGAGAUCAAGUGUCCUCAUGAAUUCAAAAAGUGCCCAUGAAAUUUAAAAAUAUUCAUGGUAUCAAAAAGUGCCCAUGAAAUACAAUCGAUAAAUGAAGACUACGAUUUAAAUACAAUCGAUCUUAGCUAGCUAUCUGUUCACAAUCUUCUUGCCCUUCUUUUUCGCAAAUGGAGUUCUUCUGUGGAACGGACGUCCUUUACGUAGGGUGGUCCUGCUUCUUCUUGUGGUGUGUGCUGCUACUUCAUCGUCGUUGUCAUGUUCGAUCUUUGGGUCGCCGUACUUGUCGAGGUCUUGCUCAUUGGCUACUCCAUCCAUUUCGAUGAUCUUCCUUUUGCCUCUCCUAACGACAACACGACUGGGCUUUGACGGGUCGGUAAUGAAGAAGUAUUGGUCCACUUGGGAAGCCAGUACCCAUGGCUCAUUUUUCGCGGUGACGUUUGCACCCGCGGUCUUGGAUUUGGCUUCGGGUAUAACCAUGGUGGUGAAAUACCGGUCUUCUUUUAGGACGCUCUUGGCCCAUCUGACACGGAACAUGGGGACCUUCUCUCCAGCGUAGCUCAGCUCCCAGAUCUCCUCGAUCCUUCUGUAGUAUCUGUCCUUGUCGUUACCGGUGUAGGAUUCCAUCGUUACCCCGGAGUUCUGAUAACCAUCGCUCUUCAUGUCCUUGUCCUCAGUGUAGAAUGUGUAGCCGUUCAUAUCGUACGCCUCAUAGGUCAUCAGGUUGUGCUCGGCGCCCAGUGACAAGGCGAAUAUGAGUUGUUCUUCCGCGGAAGAAUCUUCAUGUAAAGGGUACGACAGAAGCUUCUGCUUGAACCAACGCGUGAAACAUGAGUUGUGCUCUUUGAGUAUAUCUCCGUCCGUCCUCUGUUGGCCUCGGUCAUUGUACGUCUUCUCAAUAAAGGUUUUGUGCUCUACCACCCAAGGAUCAACCACGUCUAUGUGUUGUAGCGCGACUAGGUUUGCUCUUUCAAAGUCGGCGAGUCGACCCUCGAAGUCGACAUGCAUUUCGCGGCGACCCUCACGGUGACCCCAUCCAGCAAGUCUGCCGAGGUGCCUGUUGACGGGCAGACCAACGGGGUUCUCGAUUCCUAGAUAAUUCGUGCAGUAGGAGAUGCACUCUUCGGUCAGAAAGCCCCUGGCUAUACUUCCCUCUGGACGUGACAUGUUGCGAAUGUAUCAUUUGAUGACACCAUUCAUCCUUUUGAACGGCAUCAUGCUGUGCAGGAACGUCGGCCCGAGUUGGAUGAUAUCGUCCACGAUAUGGACCAGCAGAUGCACCAUAAUGUCGAAGAAUGCGGGCGGGAAGUACAUCUCAAUCUCGCAUAGUAUCACCACGAUCUCUUCCUGUAGCCUUCUGAGUUGCCUCACGCCAAUCGACUUCCGAGAGAUGACGUCGAAAAAGUUGCAUAGGCCAAAUAGCGUUUCACGGACGUGCGCGUCCAUGAUCCCACGGAUUGCAACUGGAAGUAUCUGCGUCAUCAGCACAUGACAGUCGUGAGACUUCAUCCCGCUGAACUUCUGCUUUGCUGGGUCUAGGUAUCUGCUUAUCUUCCUCGCGUAACCGUAAGGAAGUUUUACUCCUAGGAGGCAGGUGAAAAACUACUCGAUCUCCUCCUGACUUAGAGUGAAGCACGCGGGAGGGUAGUCAUUUCCGGUCUUCUUGGCCUUUUUGCCUUUGCGACGACUUUCUGUGUCCUGCUUCGCCUCAUCAUCAUCAUCAUCAUCAUCAUCAUUAGCGUGAAGCUCCUGCCUGAUGCCCAUUGAUUUCAAGUCUGCCCUUGCUUUCGGCCCAUCUUUUGUCCUCUCUGGUAUGUUGAGCAGGGUACCAAGCAGACUCUCACACACGUUCUUCGUGAUAUGCAGGACAUUAAGGCUGUGAGGCACACGGUGGAUCUUCCAGUACGGCAAGUCCCAGAAAACAGACCUCGUUUUCCAUACCUUCAGCAGCGGCUCUGGCGCCUUUCGCUUCUUUCCCGGCUCUGACGCCUUUUGCUUCUUUCCCGGCAGUGGGCAGUCUUUCCAAUUUUUCAACAGCUCGUCUAUUUCCUCGCCGCUCCUCGUACACGGGCGUUUUCGUGGUUCGGUUUCACCAUCGAACAGAUCCUUGCGUUUCCUCCACGGGUCAUCGUCGCGAAGCCAACUUCGAUGUGCCAUGAACACGGUUUUCGAAGAGCCGGGAUCUCUAUGUAGCUAGCGAUACGUUGUGUCAUACAUGCACCUUACGCGUCCAGAAAAUCCGUGGACUACCUACCCCGCGAGAUAUCCGUAACCGAGAUAGUCGUGCACCGUCGUGAGUAGUGCGGAUCUCAUAGGGAAAUAUUCUUUCUCUACGGCGUCCCACAUAUUGGCUGGCGUUUUCCAUAGCGUGUCUAGGUCCUCCUUCAGCAGCCCCAGAUACAGAUUGAUGUCGUUCCCUGGUUGUUUCGGCCCUUCAAUUAGCAUACUCAUGUGAAUGUACUUCCUCUUCAUGCACAACCAGGGGGGAAGGUUGUACAUCCACACAAACACAGGCCAGGUGCUAUGUGUGCUUCUCUGGCUGCCAAAUGGAUUGACUCCAUCGGUGCUCACGCCCAGCAUGAUCUUCCUUGGAUCCUUCCCAAAUUUUGGGUAUUCGAAGUUCAACGCUUGCCACUGGCUCGCAUCGUUAGGGUGACUCAGCAUCUUGUCUUUUUUAUUUAUCUCCGGAUCAUUUCCGUCAUCUUCCCGCUUCUUAUCCUCCCUAUCCGCGUGCCAACGCAGGAGCUUUGCUAUCUUAGGGUCCGUGAAAUACCGCUGCAGACGAGGAGUGAUCGGAAAGUACCACACAGAUUUUCGAGGAGCUUUCUUCCUCUUCUUGUAUCGAGUGACGCCGCACACCGGACAUAUGGUAGACUCCGCGUGCUCGUCCCGAUAAAUGAUACAAUUGUUCAUGCACACAUGGUAUUUCACGUGCGGUAAAUCCAGAGGAUACACGAUUUUCUUCACCUCCUCGAAACUGGUCGGGCACUUGUUCCCCUUGGGAAGACGUUCGUGCCAGAAUGACAUGUUCUCGUCGAAGUAUGCGUCGGUUAUUUUGUGUUUUACCUUCAUCUCCAGAGCCAUGAGCGUUACUUUCAGGCGGGUACCCUCGGGCCUGCAUCCUUCAUACAAUGGAGUAACCGCGUCUAUCUCCAGUUGAUCCAGCUUGGCUUUCUCUCGGGCGGCAGCUCUUGCGUUAUCCGUCUGCUUGAGAAGCAGCUCUUGAAUAUGAGGGUCCUGCACCCAGCCUCCAUCGUCGUCUGCUCCGGCAUCUUCAUCUUCAUGAUCAUGCCCUUUGUCUUGAUCUUCCACAUCAUCAUGUACGACAUCUUCUACAUGAUGACUGUGUACAGCAUCACCGUCGUGAUCAUGUCCUGGAGAUUCUUCGUCUUCUCGCCCGCCCUCGCCGCGGUGGUACUUGUCUUGUUACCCUUCCUCAUUUCUUGCCCGACCCCAUGGAUGACUUUAUAGUCAUCUUCAUCACCUUGCCAACGAUAGCCAUCCAUGAAACCACGCAAGAGCAGGUGGUCCCGCACCUGCCCGGAAUCCGGGUCCGCAAUAAGGCUCUUCAGCUUGCAUCUUCGACACGGACAUCUUAUCUCCGUCUCGUUCUUUUGAAGCAUCUCGGCCUUCGCGGAGCUCAAAAACCUAUUCACGAUGCCUUCAGUCAUCGUGCGGACCAUGGUCGCCUGCGGGGUAGAGCAAAACGAUAUUUUAGAACCAAGAAAAAAUUUGGCAUGACCUUCCCUAAAAAUAGGACCAAAAAGAAUGCAUAGUGCCAAAAUUCUCGCCAAAACGGAAAUGAAUCAAAACAUUCCGGCAAAAUAUUGGCAACUAUCGCAUUUCAAAUACCGGUACCUUCAAACACAAACAUAUAUGCAACACCACAAACACAUGCAACACCACAAACAUACAUAGAUCUAGCUAGGCCACAAAAAGUGCAUGUGCACGUUGUUGGAGCGAGUUAGGGAGAAAAAAAAGUAGAUCUACAUCAUGAAGAUAGCUUUCCCCUUACUUACCUAUCAAAAAAAAAGGUAAUUUCACCACUUAAUUUUGAUGAAUCUAUGGUGGAAAUGACGUGAGGAGGAGGAGAUGGCCGAAAGCUUGGAGAAGGAGGUGGAGGGAAUGAAGUGGGGAAAGUGAGUGGGUAGGUGUGAGGCUGUCCAAAAUAUCUUGUUGGGGUCCCAGGUUACUAAUGGCGCACCACCAGCAAAUGCGCCAUUAGUAACCCUGGUUACUAAUGGCGCACCUGCAGGUGGUGCGCCAUUAGUAGUUUUGCAAAAAAGUAAAAAUAAAUAAAUAUAUAUACUAAUGGCGCACCGGGUAAUAGUGCGUCAUUACUAGUUUAAACUAGUAAUGGCGCACUGUGAAGCGAUGCGCCAUUAGUAGUUUUACAAAAAAAAGAAUAAUUUUUUUUAUAGUAAUGGCGCACUGUCUGCUUGGUGCGCCAUUACUACUUAGAACUAGUAAUGGCGCACUUCGACCUGAUGCGCCAUUAGUAUGUAUGGAAAAAUGGAAAAAAUAAUAAUUUAAUACUAGUGGCGCACCCUGUUUCUGGUGCGCCAUUAGUGUCUUCCACACUACUGGCGCAUCACCAACCGGUGCGCCAUUAGUAUAUAGUAGUGGCGCACUGCUUUCAUGGUGCGCCAUUAGUAUCAAUCCUAUCUAUAGCCCUUUUCCUAGUAGUGCUAGGUCUCAUUACUCUUUCUAUCCGACGUGGCAUGUGAGAGCGGAGGAUAGAGGUUGCCACGAAAUACCCAACCAAUGCACUUGUCGAUCGUCUUGCUCUUAUUAGGUAGUCGUUUCAAUGAAAGUAUAUCUGCCGCCUGUUCAUUUUUCAAUUCACUUUCAGUAGACAGUUUGCAUUAUUUGUUUUUUUGUGGGAGUUGAAGCAAAGAAUUUGUUAUGUUUCCUUAUGCUGUGAAUCUGAAGUGUUUCUUGCUAACUAAGAACCCUGCACAGCUAGAUGCCGCACUGUCGGCCCUCAAUCCUUGGAUAUUGGGAAGUUUGAAGAAGCAUGUGGUGUAGGUAUGUUUUUGCAAUCAAUAUAUAUAUUUACAUGCUUCUGCAAAUUAUAAAUCAUGUAUCCGCAUGUGGUGUAGGUAUGAUUUGAUAAUGUGGUUGUUUGGAUGCAAAAAGAAUAAUAAAUCGAUGCACAUUUUUUAUGAUCAGACGUGGAACGGCCAAUGUUUUGUAAUGGAGUAGCAUCAUUAAUGCCCAAUUGGACCUUUUCUUUGUGUGUGUGUAUUGGGGGGGGGGGGGUCAAAUUUUGUAUUUAUCAACUAUUAGUGAAUUGUCCUGCCUGUGAAUCCAAUGGAUCGUACAGUGGACCUACGACAUUGUACUAUAAUUGUUCUCGGAAUGUUCUAAAUGUUUGGUGCUUGAUAAAUAUCAAACUUCUAGGCCCUUUCCGAAUAAAUUUCAGUAGUCAACAGUGUAAGUGUUCUAAAAAAAGUCAGAGGACCAACCGAUGGCCUAAAGUUACAUAUAAUCAACAUUUCAUGUUCUCUAUUACAAUAACAGUGUUUAAAGAAAUAGUAAUACUAGAGUUGGAAAGCAUAAUGCGCCUUGGAUCAUGUCUCAUGUCUUUUUUUCUCAUUGCCCAAACACUGUUCGUUCUGCUAUAUGUCCCUUCUUUCAGUCAUAAGGUUUAUACAUGUAUUGAUUUAACAAGAUUAGAUUCACAGUUAGUUCUAAUGGUGUGACAUGGAUUGUGUUUGUGAUCUUCCAGUUUUCCUGUUUCUUCCAUGCAUGUGAAGGACUCAUAUCUUACAACCUGAAAACUGAAUGUACGUCGUACAAAGGCAGCUUGGCAGUUGUGGCGCUCUUAUAUAGUAGAAAAAAUGUUAUUUGGUGAAAAGAAACAUAGCCUGUGCAGUAAUAAAAAUAAAUACACUGAUCCACUUCAUUUCUGAGAUAAAUGAUUAGUGUUCAGAUAUAAGAGGAGAUCAUUUGAAUUCGUCUAUUGCAGCUACAAAUCAAUGAACAAUUUCAAAAAUGGAGCUGCACUAUUGUUUAGUAUUAGCCUUCACAAUCUUUUCUUAGACAACGUUUGAUUCUGCAACACAACUCCACGCUGUGACAAGCAUUUCACCAAUGAACACGUUUUACAAAAAAUAUCACCGGCCAAGCUUUAUUGAUUAGGGUUUAGCAUAACCGGAACACAAAGAACUUUAAAAUUGUGAAAUCCAACGUAUUCUGCAGCGGGCGUUCUGGACGGCAAGGUGAUUGUUGAGGCCUCAUAUGGAGGCAUGACCUUGCUGUUCAAUUUGCAGAUGGUGCCCACUGACGCUGCUACCUCCGGAAGGUCGCAGAGGAGGCCACCCGAGCGGGACGACGCACUACCAGAAUAACGGCCGCUGCCGACGGCCUUCUCUACGCCGACGGCUCCCAUCGGCAUAGAUGGUGGUAUGCCGACGGCCGCGGAAAGACCGUAGGCGUACUAAAGCCGUCGGCAAACCUCCAUCUAUGCCGACGGGGGCCGUCGGCGUAGGAAGGCCGUCGGCGUAUAUUCCACUAUGCCGACGGGGGCUGUCGGCAUAGAGCCGCCGUUGGCACACAGGUGGGUCCGCCGACCCAGGUCCAAACGGAGGGUCGACGCCGUCACCUCUAUGCCGACGGCCUCCGUCAAGGCCGUCGGCAUAGCUUGUACAUUUUUUUUUAUUCGGCAAAAAAUCACAUGGGCUUUCUAUGCCGACGGGGAUACGUCGACAUAUAUAUUAUAUGUUUUUUAUUUCUCAUUUUGCAUUUUUUUAUUAAACUUUAGAUUUGAUUAAUUUAAAUCUAAUUUAUAUAAACUUAAACAUACACAAAUUAUAUAUGAAAUUGGGGCAGAAUUUUCCAUAGAUUAUGAAUAUCCUGUUUGUUUUUACUUUUGAUUAUUUUAAAAUGUAACUUCAUGUAAUUUUGCAUAUAGGUCCUUAUACUUAGUAAAAAUCACAAGUAAUUGAUACUUCACUAGAUUUGGAUAACUUUUAAAUGAUUUUCUUAUCAUAAUCUCGCACCAGGACAUGAUGCGUGUGUGAAUGUGUUGUGACAUGCGUAUACGCCCUUCUUGGGCUUCGAGGUGUGCCCCCUCCCUCCCUUCACGGACGGCAGUGCCGCCAUCACUUUGAGGGGGAAUCGUGCGCGUCGGGUAGAACCAAAGGGAAUCUAGUGGUGGGUUGGGUCCAGGCCAUGUUCGGGGAUGUUUCUAUGGGUUGACCUAUCGCAACCAGUGGAAGAGUCCACUGGUCAAAGCCCGCCAGGAGAAAGUCAAAGGCCUAGAUCUCCUGGUCAACGAGGCUAGGGUUAGUCCGGUCAGUGGGGCUUCGAGGUGUAGCUAUGCCUCCGAAACACCGUACCGGGUCCCGAUGCGUGUGUGGAAGUGAUGUGGCAUGCAUAGACGCCCACUACUAGGAAAAGGCAUGCUAGUGGCGCACCGAAUUUGCCUUCUAAUGACGCACUACCGGUGCGCCACUGGCAUCACACCAUUAGAAUUAAAUUCUAAUGGCGCACCACCGGUGCGCCAUUAGUAUCUGGUGUUCUAAUGGCGCACCACGUAGUGCGCCAUUAGUAUAGCCUGCAGUGCGCCAUUAGAAUGCCUCCCAGGGGGCCAUAUGUACCCAUGUGCUUUGGCAUUCUAAUGGCGCACCAGAAGUUAAUGCGCUAUUAGUGUGAUGAUCACAGUGCGCCAUUAGUGUCUUGUGUGGUGCGCCAUUAGUAUGAAUAAUAGGUUUUAUUUUUUUUUGCUUUUCUGAUUUUUGCACAGGUUACAAAAUAUAUUAUUGGACAGAAUAUAGACAGCACCACACAGCAACAUCAGAUUCAUCGAAUACAAUAGAAGAUUAGUCUCCGAAUACAAUUCAUCAUAUUAGUCUCCGAAUUCAGAAGACCGAACAAAGAUAAAACAUUACAAGUCUCAAGACCGCGAGUAUCGAGUUUGCCUUCACAUUACAAGUCGAUAUCGAUCAUCUAAACUACCAUCACAUAGAAGAGAGCUGUGGUCAUCACGAUGAGCAUCAUCGCGAUCAAACUGGUCUUCAUCCGGUUCCUCCAACGCUCCCUCCUCUCUCCCUCUAGAUAGCGGGCGUAUCUACAUUCGGCCUCCGCCCUAGUGGUGUACCCUUUGUAACUGUUACCGAUGAAACGGUGAACCUGUCUCCGACACUCCUCCCAGUCGUCGUAGACUCCGGGAACCUUACCCUUGUACACGACAUACGACGGCAUCUCUAUGCACAAGCCAAACAACAGACAAUACAUAAGCAAUAUGUAAGUAUGCAACAAAAGGAUCGGAAGAGAAAAGGAAGACAUUAAUAGCACGAUUCAUGGUCAUACUAAUAAAUAGCAUCGACACCGAGGCAUCCGGGGCAGCCAAGUUAAGUUUUCAUCAUUUAAGGUUUAUCGAUGCCGAGGCACCCUAAGUAAGGCCUAAUCACUUGGCUCUAUUGCCACCUAUGGUUUAAUACAGCAAGAAUAAAGGGGCAGUUGAUCCUACUUAAUUAAGUACUAAGAUACCCCGGCCCAUGCAUUAGUAGCAAGUACCUCGUAUGUCCGAUUUUUAGCAAAGUCAUGCUAAAAUUCACGGGAAAUUUCAGCAUGACCUUUGCUGAAAAUAGGACAUAUGGAGUACCCGAAUUUGCCGGAACGGAAGUUAAUCGACAUUCCGGCAAACUCAAGGGCCUCUCGGGGUACCUGCAAAAUCAUCACGACACGAAGGGCCUCUCAAGGGCCUCAAGCAGCAGCGGCGUCUCCCAGGACCCCAUUUUUUUGCUAAAUUUCUUUGAGCAACAAUCAGAGCACAAAAUUUAGCAUAUUUCUAUACAACAGCACUGUAAAGAUGAAGAACAGUUCUACAGCAGCCCAUUUAUAUACAAUAGCAUCUUUGGUCAUACCAAUUUCUGAAACAAUUCAAAUCUGAACUGUAUCUUUGGUCAUACAAAUCUCUGAAACUAUACAAAUCUGAAAUAUAUAUUUGGUCAUACAAAUUUAUGGAACUAAUCAAAUCUGAACUGUAUCUUUGGUCAUACAAAUCUCUGAAAAUUUUCUAAAUCUGUGGUCAUACAAAUUUAUGGAACUAAUCAAAUUCUGGAUUCAGAAGUUGGACUUCAAAAAUCUUUCAUGCAAAUUACUUGAAGUACUGAAGUUAAAUUGUUUUCAAUCUGUCCAGAUAUUGUCAGUGACAAUUAGGGUCAUUCAGAAAGAUGCUGAAGAGAAGAAAUUAACUAUGUAUAGUUUAUUAUUUUUGUACCAGGAACUAUUUUAGUUUAUUAUUUAUGGUACCAGGGAGGAAUAUAACAAUCUUUUUUGGUAUAUAUCAGGUUUUGGCUGCAUUUGCAAAUGCAUUCCAUGUACUGCAACCCUCGAGUCAUCUGAUGUUCCUGAAUCAUUGUAGUUUAGGCACCAUACAAGAUUGUUAGUUCAAUGUGCUUUAUAUCCUAGUUAUACUACUGCAGGAAAGGAGGAUCAUCAUACACAUAUAUAUGUAUAGCAAUUGACAGGAGCUUCAUCAUUUUUAGUAACAACAAUACAUAUAUAGCAAUUGGAAGCAAACAGAUGUACAAAUAAGAUAGAAAUGUAUGAAGGAAAUAUGCCCUAGAGGCAAUAAUAAAGUUAUUAUUUAUUUCCUUAUUUCAUGAUAAAUGUUUAUUAUUCAUGCUAGAAUUGUAUUAACCGGAAGCAUGAUACAUGUGUGAAUACAUAGACAAACAUAUAGUCACUAGUAUGCCUCUACUUGACUAGCUCAUUAAUCAAAGAUGGUUAUGUUUCCUAACCAUUGACAUGUGUUGUCAUUUGAUUAAUGGGAUCACAUCAUUAGGAGAAUGAGGUGAUUGACAUGACCCAUCCCGUUAGCUUAGCACUUGAUCGUUUAGUAUUCUGCUAUUGCUUCCUUCAUGACUUAUACAUGUUCCUGUAACGAUGAGAAUUGUGUAACUCCCGUUUACCGGAGGAACACUUUGGGUACUACCAAACGUCACAACGUAACUGGGUGAUUAUAAAGGAGUACUACAGGUGUCUCCGAAGGUACAUGUUGAGUUAGUAUAAUUCGAGAUUAGGUUUUGUCACUCCGAUUGUCGGAGAGGUAUCUCUGGGCCCUCUCGGCAAUGCUCAUCACCUAAGCCUUGCAAGCAUGUAACUAAUGAGUUAGUUAUAAGAUGAAGUAUUACAGAACGAGUAAAGAGACUUGUCGAUAACGAGAUUGAACUAGGUAUUGGAUACCGACGAUUGAAUCUCGGACAAGUAACAUACCGAUGACAAAGGGAACAACGUAUGUUGUUAUGCGGUUUGACCGAUAAAGAUCUUCGUAGAAUAUGUAGGAACCAAUAUGGGCAUCCAGGUCCCGCUAUUGGUUAUUGACCAGAGAUGUGUCUCAGUCAUGUCUACAUCGUUCUCGAACCGUAGGGUCCGCACGCUUAAGGUUUCGAUGACAGUUAUAUUAUGAGUUUAUGUAUUUUGAUGUACCGACGGUUGUUCGGAGUCCCGGAUAUGAUUACGGACAUGACGAGGAGUCUCGAAAUGGUCGAUACAUAAAUAUUGAUAUAUUCGACGGAUAUAUUUGGACACCGGAAAGGUUCCGGAGAAGUUUGGAGCCCCGGGAGGUUACCGGAACCCCCCGGGAGGUAUAUGGGCCUUAUUGGGCCCAUGUAGGAGGAAGAGAGAAGGAGCAAGGGAAGGGGGCGCGCCCCCCCAAGCCCAAUCCGAAUUGGGGAGGGGGCCGGCCCCCCCUUUCCUUUCUCCUCCCCCCUCUUCCUAUUACUACUACUAGUACUACUUCCUAAUACUAGUACUCUUUCCUUCCCCCUCCAAAUAAGAUAAGGAAAAGAGAGGGAAACCUACUUGGAGUAGGUUUCGCCCUCCUCAUGGCGCGCCCCCCCUAGGGCCGGCCACCUCCUCCCUCCCUCCUUUAUAUACGGGGGUAGGGGGCACCCUAGAACACACAAGUUGAUCAUUGGUCGUUCCUUAGCCAUGUGCGGUGCCCCCCUCCACGAUAUUACACCUCGGUCAUAUUGAAGCGGUACUUAGGCGAAGCCCUGCAACAGGAGAACAUCAAGAUCGUCACCACGCCGUCGUGCUGACGGAACUCCCCCUCGGCGCCUCUGCUGGAUCGGAGAUCGAGGGUGCGUCAUCGAGCUGUACGCGUGUCAAGAACUCGGAGGUGCCGGAGUAACGGUACUUGGAUCGGUUGAACCGGAGGACGUACGACUACUUCCUCUACGUUGCGUCAACGCUUCCGCUUCGGUCUACGAGGGUACAUAGACAACACUCUCCCCUUGUUGCUAUAUCAUCACCAUGAUCUUGCGUGUGCGUAGGAAAUUUUUUGAAAUUACUACGUUCCCCAACAGUGGCAUCCGAGCCUAGGUUUUAUGCGUUGAUGUUAUAUGCACGAGUAGAACACAAGUGAGUUGUGGACGAUAUAAGUCAUACUGCCUACCAGCAUGUCAUACUUUGGUUCAGCGGUAUUGUGAGAUGAAGCGGCCCGGACCGACAUUACGCGUACGCUUACGCGAGACUGGUUUCACCGUUACGAGCACUCGUGCUUAAAGGUGGCCGGCGGGUGUCUGUCUCUCUCACUUUAGUUGAACCGAGUGUGGCUACGCCCGGUCCUUGUGAAGGUUAAAACGGAGUCUAUUUGACAAACUAUCGUUGUGGUUUUGAUGCGUAGGUGAGAUUGGUUCUUGCUUAAGCCCGUAGCAGCCACGUAAAAAUUUGCAACAACAAAGUAGAGGACGUCUAACUUGUUUUUGCAGGGCAUGUUGUGAUGUGAUAUGGUCAAGACGUGAUGAGAUAUAAGUUGUUGUAUGAGAUGAUCAUGUUUUGUUGAAGUUAUCGGCAACUGGCAGAAGCCCUAUGGUUGUCUCUUUGUUGCAUAGGAUGCAAGUGCCAAAUAAUUGCUUUACUUUGUCGCGAUGCGAUAUCAAUAGUUGCAAAAGCAAUAGUUGGCGAGACGAAUAUGUAACGACACAUUGAUAUAGAUCAAGAUGAUGAAGAUCAUGGUGUCGUGCCGGUAACGAUAGAGAUCAUGACAGUACUUUGGAGAUGGAGAUCAAAGGCGCAAGAUGAUCAUGGCCAUAUCAUGUCACAUAUUUUGAUUGCAUAUGAUGUUUAUCUGUUAUACAUCUUAUUCUGUUUUGUUUGACGGUAGCAUUUUAAGAUGAUCUCUCACUAAUUAUCAAGAAGUGUUCUCCCUGAGUAUGCACCGUUGCGAAAGUUCUUCGUGCUGAGACACCACGUGAUGAUCGGGUGUGAUAGGCUCUACGUUCAAAUACAACGGGUGCAAAACAGUUGCACACGCGGAAUACUCGGGUUAAACUUGACGAGCCUAGCAUAUACAGAUAUGGCCUCGGAACACGGAGACCGAAAGGUCGAGCGUGAAUCAUAUAGUAGAUAUGAUCAACAUAAUGAUGUUCACCAUUGAAACUACUCCAUCUCACGUGAUGAUCGGACAUGGUUUAGUUGAUUUGGAUCACGUGAUCACUUAGAUGACUAGAGAGAUGUCUGUCUAAGUGGGAGUUCUUAAGUAAUAUGAUUAAUUGAACUUGAAUUUAUCAUGAACUUAGUCCUGGUAGUAUUUUGCAAAUUGUGUUAUAGAUCAAUAGCUCGCGUUGUUGCUUCCCUAUGUUUUUGCUUCCCUAUGUUUUUAUAUGUGUUCCUAGAGAAAACUAUGUUGAAAAAUGUUAGUAGCAAUGAUGCGGACUUGAUCCGUGAUCUGAGGUUUAUCCUCAUUGCUGCACAGAAGAAUUAUGUCCUUGAUGCACCGCUAGGUGACAGACCUAUUGCAGGAGCAGAUGUAGACAUUAUGAACAUUUGGCUAGCUCAAUAUGAUGACUACUUGAUAGUUUAGUGCACCAUUCUUAACGGCUUAGAAUCGGGACUUCAAAGAUGUUUUGAACGUCAUGGACCAUAUGAGAUGUUCCAGGAAUUGAAGUUAAUAUUUCAAGCAAAUACCCGAGUUGAGAGAUAUGAAGUCUCUAACAAGUUCUAUUGCUAAAAGAUGGAGGAGAAUCGCUCAACUAGUGAGCAUGUGCUCAGAUUGUCUGAGUACUUUAAUCGCUUGAAUCAAGUGGGAGUUAAUCUUCCAGAUAAGAUAGUGAUUGACAGAAUUCUCUAGUCACCAUCACCAAGUUAGUAGAACUUUGUGAUGAACUAUAGUAUGCAAGGGAUGACGAAAACGAUUCCGAGCUCUUCGUGAUGUUGAAAUCAACAAAGGUAGAAAUCAAGAAAGAGCAUCAAGUGUUGAUGAUUGACAAGACCACUAGUUUCAAGAAAAGGGCAAAGGGAAAGAAAGGGAACUUCAAGUAGAAUGACAAGCAAGUUGUCAGUCCCGCGAAGAAGCCCAAAGCUGGACCAAAGCCUGGAACUGAGUGAUUAUACUGCAAAGGAAAUGGUCACUAGAAGCGGAAAAUGUCUUGAAUAUUUGGUGGAUAAGAAGGAUGGCAAAGUAAACAAGGGUAUAUUUGAUAUACAUGUUAUUGAUGUGUGCCUUACUAGUGUUUAUAGUAACCCCUGAGUAUUUGAUACUUGUUCGGUUGCUAAGAUUAGUAACUCGAAACAGGAGUUACAGAAUAAACAGAAACUAGUUGAGGGUGAUGUGAUGAUGUGUGUUGGAAGUGGUUCCAAGAUUGAUAUGAUCAUCAUCGCACACUCCCUAUACUUUCGGGAUUAGUGUUGAACCUAAAUAAAUGUUAUUUGGUGUUUGCGUUGAGCAUGAAUAUGAUUUGAUCAUGUUUAUUGCAAUACGGUUAUUCAUUUAAAGUCAGAGAAUAAUUGUUGUUCUGUUUACAUGAAUAAGACCUUCGAUGGUCAUACACCCAAUGAACAUAGUUUGUUGGAUCUCGAUCGUAGUGAUACACAUAUUCAUAAUAUUGAUGCCAAAAGAUGAAAAGUUAAUAAUGAUAGUGCAACUUAUUUGUGGCACUGCCGUUUGGGUCAUAUCGGUGUAAAGCGCAUGAAGAAACUCCAUAAAGAUGGAUUUUCGGAAUCACUUGGUUAUGAAUCAUUUGAUGCUUGCGAACCGUGCCUUUUGGGCAAGAUGACUAAAAACUCCGUUCUCCGGAACAAUGGAACAAGCUACUGACUUAUUGGAAAUAAUACAUACCGAUGUAUGCAAUCCAAUGAGUGUUGAUGCUCGUGGCAAGUAUCGUUAUUUUUUGACCUUCACAAAAUGAUUUGAGCAGAUAUGGGUAUAUCUACUUGAUGAAACAUAAGUCUGAAAUAAUUGAAAGGUUCAAAGAAUUUCAGAGUGAAGUGAAAAAAUCAUCGUAACAAGAAAAUAAAGUUUCUACGAUCUGAUCGCGGAGACGAAUAUUUGAGUUACGAGUUUGGUCUUCAGUUAAAACAAUGUGAAAUAGUUUCACAGCUCACGCCACCUGGAACACCACAACGUUAUGGUGUGUCCGAACGUCGUAACCGCACUUUAUUGGAUAUGGUGCGAUCUAUGAUGCCUCUUAUCGGUUUUACCACUAUCAUUUUGGGGUUGUGCAUUAGAGACAGCUGCAUUCACGUUUAAAAGGGCACCAUCUAAAUCCGUUGAGACGACACCGUAUGAACUAUGGUUUAAAAGUAAACCUAAAGCUGUCGUUUCUUAAAGUUUGGAGUUGCGAUGCUUAUAUGAAAAAGGUUUUCAACCUGAUAAGCUCGAACCCAAAUCGGAGAAGUGCGUCUUCAUAGAAUACCCAAAGGAAACUGUUGGGUACACCUUCUAUCACAGAUCCGAAGGCAAGAUAUUCAUUGCUAAAAAUGGAUCCUUUCUAGAGAAGGAGUUUCUCUCGAAAGAAGUGAGUGGGAAGAAAGUAGAACUUGAUGAGGUAACUGUACCUGCUCCCUUAUUGGAAAGUAGUUCAUCACAGAAAUCUGUUCCUGUGACUACUACUCCAAUUAGUGAGGAAGUUAAUGAUGAUGAUCAUGAAACUUCAGAUUAAGUUACUACAGAACCUCGUAGGUCUACCAGAGUAAGAUCCGCACCAGAGUGGUACGGAAAUCCUAUUCUGGAAGUCAUGUUACUAGACCAUGAUGAACCUACGAACUAUGAGGAAACGAUGAUGAGCCCAGAUUCCGCAAAAUGGCUAGAGGCCAUGAAAUCUGAGAUAGGAUCCAUGUAUGAAAACAAAGUAUGGACUUUGGUUGACUUGCCCGAUGAUCGGCAAGCCAUUGAGAAUAAAUGGAUCUUUAAGAAGAAGACUGACGCUGAUGGUAAUGUUACUGUCUACAAAGCUCGACUUGUUGCAAAAGGUUUUCGACAAGUUCAAGGGGUUGACUACGAUGAGACUUUCUCACCCGUAGCGAUGCUUAAGUCUGUCCGAAUCAUGUUGGCUAUUGCUGCAUUUCAUGAUUAUGAAAUUUGGCAAAUGGAUGUCAAGACUGCAUUCUUGAAUAGAUUUCUAGAAGAAGAGUUGUAUAUGAUGCAACCUGAAGGUUUUGUUGAUCCAAAAGGUGCUGAAAAAGUGUGCAAGCUCCAACAUUCCACUUAUGGACUGGUGCAAGCAUCUCGGAGUUGGAAUAAACGUUUUGAUAGUGUGAUCAAAGCAUAUGGCUUUAUACAGACUUUUGGAGAAGCCUGUAUUUACAAGAAAGUGAGUGGGAGCUCUGUAGCAUUUCUAAUAUUAUAUGUGGAUGACAUAUUGUUGGUUGGAAAUGAUAUGGAAAUUCUGGAUAGCAUGAAAGGAUACUUGAAUAAGAGUUUUUCAAAGCAAGACCUCGGUGAAGCUGCUUACACAUUGAGCAUCAAGAUCUAUAUAGAUAGAUCAAGACGCUUGAUAAGAUUUUUCAAUGAGUACAUACCUUGAUAAAUUUUUGAAAUAGUUCAUAAUGGAACAGUCAAAGAAGAAGUUCUUGCAUGUGUUACAAGGUGUGAAGUUGAGUAAGACUCAAGACCCGACCAUUGCAGAAAAUAGAAAGAGAAUGAAAAGUCAUUCCCUAUGCCUCAGUCAUAGGUUCUAUAAAGUAUACUAUGCUGUGAACCAGACCUAUUGUAUACCUUGCUCUGUGUUUGGCAAAGGAAUACAAUUUUGAUCUAAUAAGUAGAUCACUGGACAUGGGUCAAGAAUAUCCUCAGUGAGGACUAAGGAGAUGUUUCUCGAUUAUGGAGGUGAUAAAAGAGCCCGUCAUAAAAGUUACAACGAUGCAAGUUUUUUACACCAAUCCAGAUGACUCUAAGUCUCAAUCUGGAUACAUAUUGAAAGUGGGAGCAAUUAGCUAGAGUAGCUCCGUGCAGAGCAUUGUGGACAUAGAAUAUUUGCGAAAUACAUACGGCUCUUAAUAUGACAGACCCGUUGACUAAGCUUCUCUCACGAGCAAAACAUGAUCAUACCUUAGUACUCUUUUGGGUGUUAAUCACAUAGCGACGUGAACUAGAUUAUUGACUCUAGUAAACCCUUUGGGUGUUGAUCACAUGAUGAUGUGAACUAUGGGUAUUAAUCACAUGCAGAUGUGAAUAUUGGUGUUAAAUCACAUAGCGAUGUGAACUAGAUUAUUGACUCUAGUGCAAGUCGGAGACUGAAGGAAAUAUGCCCUAGAGGCAAUAAUAAAGUUAUUAUUUAUUUCCUUAUUUCAUGAUAAAUGUUUAUUAUUCAUGCUAGAAUUGUAUUAACCGGAAACAUGAUACAUGUGUGAAUACAUAGACAAACAUAUAGUCACUAGUAUGCCUCUACUUGACUAGCUCAUUAAUCAAAGAUGGUUAUGUUUCCUAACCAUUGACAUGUGUUGUCAUUUGAUUAAUGGGAUCACAUCAUUAAGAGAAUGAGGUGAUUGACAUGACCCAUCCCGUUAGCUUAGCACUUGAUCGUUUAGUAUUCUGCUAUUGCUUCCUUCAUGACUUAUACAUGUUCCUGUAACUAUGAGAAUUGUGUAACUCCCGUUUACCGGAGGAACACUUUGGGUACUACCAAACGUCACAACGUAACUGGGUGAUUAUAAAGGAGUACUACAGGUGUCUCCGAAGGUACAUGUUGAGUUAGCAUAAUUCGAGAUUAGGUUUUGUCACUCCGAUUGUCGGAGAGGUAUCUCUGGGCCCUCUCGGCAAUGCUCAUCACCUAAGCCUUGCAAGCAUGUAACUAAUGAGUUAGUUAUAAGAUGAAGUAUUACAGAACGAGUAAAGAGACUUGUCGAUAACGAGAUUGAACUAGGUAUUGGAUACCGACGAUCGAAUCUCGGACAAGUAACAUACCGAUGACAAAGGGAACAACGUAUGUUGUUAUGCGGUUUGACCGAUAAAGAUCUUCGUAGAAUAUGUAGGAACCAAUAUGGGCAUCCAGGUCCCGCUAUUGGUUAUUGACCAGAGAUGUGUCUCAGUCAUGUCUACAUCGUUCUCGAACCGUAGGGUCCGCACGCUUAAGGUUUCGAUGACAGUUAUAUUAUGAGUUUAUGUAUUUUGAUGUACCGAAAGUUGUUCGGAGUCCCGGAUAUGAUUACGGACAUGACGAGGAGUCUCGAAAUGGUCGAGACAUAAAGAUUGAUAUAUUGGACGGAUAUAUUUGGACACCGGAAAGGUUCCGGAGAAGUUUGGAGCCCCGGGAGGUUACCGGACCCCCCGGGAGGUAUAUGGGCCUUAUUGGGCCCAUGUAGGAGGAAGAGAGAAGGAGCAAGGGAAGGGGGCGCGCCCCCCCAAGCCCAAUCCGAAUUGGGGAGGGGGCCGGCCCCCCUUUCCUUUCUCCUUCCCCUCUUCCUAUUACUACUACUAGUACUACUUCCUAAUACUAGUACUCUUUCCUUCCCCCUCCAAAUAAGAUAAGGAAAAGAGAGGGAAACCUACUUGGAGUAGGUUUCCCCCUCCUCAUGGCGCGCCCCCCCUAGGGCCGGCCACCUCCUCCCUCCCUCCUUUAUAUACGGGGGUAGGGGGCACCCUAGAACACACAAGUUGAUCAUUGACCGUUCCUUAGCCGUGUGCGGUGCCCCCCUCCACGAUAUUACACCUCGGUCAUAUUGUAGCGGUGCUUAGGCGAAGCCCUGCAACAGGAGAACAUCAAGAUCGUCACCACGCCGUCGUGCUGACGGAACUCCCCCUCGGCGCCUCUGCUGGAUCGGAGAUCGAGGGUGCGUCAUCGAGCUGUACGCGUGUCAAGAACUCGGAGGUGCCGGAGUAACGGUACAUGGAUCGGUUGAACCGGAGGACGUACGACUACUUCCUCUAUGUUGCGUCAACGCUUCCGCUUCGGUCUACGAGGGUACGUAGACAACACUCUCCCCUCGUUGCUAUAUCAUCACCAUGAUCUUGCGUGUGCGUAGGAAAUUUUUUGAAAUUACUACGUUCCCCAACAGUGGCAUCCGAGCCUAGGUUUUAUGUGUUGAUGUUAUAUGCACGAGUAGAACACAAGUGAGUUGUGGACGAUAUAAGUCAUACUGCCUACCAGCAUGUCAUACUUUGGUUCAGCGGUAUUGUGAGAUGAAGCGGCCCGGACCGACAUUACGCGUACGCUUACGCGAGACUGGUUUCACCGUUACGAGCACUCGUGCUUAAAGGUGGCUGGCGGGUGUCUGUCUCUCUCACUUUAGUUGAACCGAGUGUGGCUACGCCCGGUCCUUGUGAAGGUUAAAACGGAGUCUAUUUGACAAACUAUCGUUGUGGUUUUGAUGCGUAGGUGAGAUUGGUUCUUGCUUAAGCCCGAAGCAGCCACGUAAAAAUUUGCAACAACAAAGUAGAGGACGUCUAACUUGUUUUUGCAGGGCAUGUUGUGAUGUGAUAUGGUCCAGACGUGAUGAGAUAUAAGUUGUUGUAUGAGAUGAUCAUGUUUUGUUGAAGUUAUCGGCAACUGGCAGAAGCCCUAUGGUUGUCUCUUUGUUGCAUAGGAUGCAAGUGCCAAAUAAUUGCUUUACUUUGUCGCGAUGCGAUAGCAAUAGUUGCAAAAGCAAUAGUUGGCGAGACGAAUAUGUAACGACACAUUGAUAUAGAUCAAGAUGAUGAAGAUCAUGGUGUCGUGCCGGUAACGAUAGAGAUCGUGACAGUACUUUGGAGAUGGAGAUCAAAGGCGCAAGAUGAUCAUGGCCAUAUCAUGUCACAUAUUUUGAUUGCAUAUGAUGUUUAUCUGUUAUACAUCUUAUUCUGUUUUGUUUGACGGUAGCAUUUUAAGAUGAUCUCUCACUAAUUAUCAAGAAGUGUUCUCCCUGAGUAUGCACCGUUGCGAAAGUUCUUCGUGCUGAGACACCACGUGAUGAUCGGGUGUGAUAGGCUCUACGUUCAAAUACAACGGGUGCAAAACAGUUGCACACGCGGAAUACUCGGGUUAAACUUGACGAGCCUAGCAUAUACAGAUAUGGCCUCGGAACACGGAGACCGAAAGGUCGAGCGUGAAUCAUAUAGUAGAUAUGAUCAACAUAAUGAUGUUCACCAUUGAAACUACUCCAUCUCACGUGAUGAUCGGACAUGGUUUAGUUGAUUUGGAUCACGUGAUCACUUAGAUGACUAGAGAGAUGUCUGUCUAAGUGGGAGUUCUUAAGUAAUAUGAUUAAUUGAACUUGAAUUUAUCAUGAACUUAGUCCUGGUAGUAUUUUGCAAAUUGUGUUAUAGAUCAAUAGCUCGCGUUGUUGCUUCCCUAUGUUUUUGCUUCCCUAUGUUUUUAUAUGUGUUCCUAGGGAAAACUAUGUUGAAAAAUGUUAGUAGCAAUGAUGCGGACUUGAUCCGUGAUCUGAGGUUUAUCCUCAUUGCUGCACAGAAGAAUUAUGUCCUUGAUGCACCGCUAGGUGACAGACCUAUUGCAGGAGCAGAUGUAGACGUUAUGAACGUUUGGCUAGCUCAAUAUGAUGACUACUUGAUAGUUUAGUGCACCAUGCUUAACGGCUUAGAAUCGGGACUUCAAAGAUGUUUUGAACGUCAUGGACCAUAUGAGAUGUUCCAGGAAUUGAAGUUAAUAUUUCAAGCAAAUACCCGAGUUGAGAGAUAUGAAGUCUCUAACAAGUUCUAUUGCUAAAAGAUGGAGGAGAAUCGCUCAACUAGUGAGCAUGUGCUCAGAUUGUCUGAGUACUUCAAUCGCUUGAAUCAAGUGGGAGUUAAUCUUCCAGAUAAGAUAGUGAUUGACAGAAUUCUCUAGUCACCAUCACCAAGUUAGUAGAACUUUGUGAUGAACUAUAGUAUGCAAGGGAUGACGAAAACGAUUCCGAGCACUUCGUGAUGUUGAAAUCAACGAAGGUAGAAAUCAGGAAAGAGCAUCAAGUGUUGAUGAUUGACAAGACCACUAGUUUCAAGAAAAGGGCAAAGGGAAAGAAAGGGAACUUCAAGUAGAAUGACAAGCAAGUUGUCAGUCCCGCGAAGAAGCCCAAAGCUGGACCAAAGCCUGGAACUGAGUGAUUAUACUGCAAAGGAAAUGGUCACUAGAAGCGGAAAAUGUCUUGAAUAUUUGGUGGAUAAGAAGGAUGGCAAAGUAAACAAGGGUAUAUUUGAUAUACAUGUUAUUGAUGUGUGCCUUACUAGUGUUUAUAGUAACCCCUGAGGAUUUGAUACUUGUUCGGUUGCUAAGAUUAGUAACUCGAAACAGGAGUUACAGAAUAAACAGAAACUAGUUGAGGGUGAUGUGAUGAUGUGUGUUGGAAGUGGUUCCAAGAUUGAUAUGAUCAUCAUCGCACACUCCCUAUACUUUCGGGAUUAGUGUUGAACCUAAAUAAAUGUUAUUUGGUGUUUGCGUUGAGCAUGAAUAUGAUUUGAUCAUGUUUAUUGCAAUACGGUUAUUCAUUUAAAGUCAGAGAAUAAUUGUUGUUCUGUUUACAUGAAUAAGACCUUCGAUGGUCAUACACCCAAUGAACAUAGUUUGUUGGAUCUCGAUCGUAGUGAUACACAUAUUCAUAAUAUUGAUGCCAAAAGAUGAAAAGUUAAUAAUGAUAGUGCAACUUAUUUGUGGCACUGCCGUUUGGGUCAUAUCGGUGUAAAGCGCAUGAAGAAACUCCAUAAAGAUGGAUUUUCGGAAUCACUUGGUUAUGAAUCAUUUGAUGCUUGCGAACCGUGCCUUUUGGGCAAGAUGACUAAAAACUCCAUUCUCCAGAACAAUGGAACAAGCUACUGACUUAUUGGAAAUAAUACAUACCGAUGUAUGCGAUCCAAUGAGUGUUGAUGCUCGUGGCAAGUAUCGUUAUUUUCUGACCUUCACAAAAUGAUUUGAGCAGAUAUGGGUAUAUCUACUUGAUGAAACAUAAGUCUGAAAUAAUUGAAAGGUUCAAAGAAUUUCAGAGUGAAGUGAAAAAAUCAUCGUAACAAGAAAAUAAAGUUUCUACGAUCUGAUCGCGGAGACGAAUAUUUGAGUUACGAGUUUGGUCUUCAGUUAAAACAAUGUGGAAUAGUUUCACAGCUCACGCCACCUGGAACACCACAACGUUAUGGUGUGUCCGAACGUCGUAACCGCACUUUAUUGGAUAUGGUGCGAUCUAUGAUGCCUCUUAUCGGUUUUACCACUAUCAUUUUGGGGUUGUGCAUUAGAGACAGCUGCAUUCACGUUUAAAAGGGCACCAUCUAAAUCCGUUGAGACGACACCGUAUGAACUAUGGUUUAGAAGUAAACCUAAAGCUGUCGUUUCUUAAAGUUUGGAGUUGCGAUGCUUAUAUGAAAAAGGUUUUCAACCUGAUAAGCUCGAACCCAAAUCGGAGAAGUGCGUCUUCAUAGAAUACCCAAAGGAAACUGUUGGGUACACCUUCUAUCACAGAUCCGAAGGCAAGAUAUUCGUUGCUAAAAAUGGAUCCUUUCUAGAGAAGGAGUUUCUCUCGAAAGAAGUGAGUGGGAAGAAAGUAGAACUUGAUGAGGUAACUGUACCUGCUCCCUUAUUGGAAAGUAGUUCAUCACAGAAAUCUGUUCCUGUGACUACUACUCCAAUUAGUGAGGAAGUUAAUGAUGAUGAUCAUGAAACUUCAGAUUAAGUUACUACAGAACCUCGUAGGUCUACCAGAGUAAGAUCCGCACCAGAGUGGUACGGAAAUCCUAUUCUGGAAGUCAUGUUACUAGACCAUGAUGAACCUACGAACUAUGAGGAAGCGAUGAUGAGCCCAGAUUCCGCAAAAUGGCUAGAGGCCAUGAAAUCUGAGAUAGGAUCCAUGUAUGAAAACAAAGUAUGGACAUUGUUUGACUUGCCCGAUGAUCGGCAAGCCAUUGAGAAUAAAUGGAUCUUUAAGAAGAAGACUGACGCUGAUGGUAAUGUUACUAUCUACAAAGCUCGACUUGUUGCAAAAGGUUUUCGACAAGUUCAAGGGGUUGACUACGAUGAGACUUUCUCACCCGUAGCGAUGCUUAAGUCUGUCCGAAUCAUGUUGGCUAUUGCUGCAUUUCAUGAUUAUGAAAUUUGGCAAAUGGAUGUCAAGACUGCAUUCUUGAAUGGAUUUCUAGAAGAAGAGUUGUAUAUGAUGCAACCUGAAGGUUUUGUUGAUCCAAAAGGUGCUGACAAAGUGUGCAAGCUCCAACAUUCCACUUAUGGACUGGUGCAAGCAUCUCGGAGUUGGAAUAAACGUUUUGAUAGUGUGAUCAAAGCAUAUGGCUUUAUACAGACUUUUGGAGAAGCCUGUAUUUACAAGAAAGUGAGUGGGAGCUCUGUAGCAUUUCUAAUAUUAUAUGUGGAUGACAUAUUGUUGGUUGGAAAUGAUAUGGAAAUUCUGGAUAGCAUGAAAGGAUACUUGAAUAAGAGUUUUUCAAAGCAAGACCUCGGUGAAGCUGCUUACACAUUGAGCAUCAAGAUCUAUAUAGAUAGAUCAAGACGCUUGAUAAGAUUUUUCAAUGAGUACAUACCUUGAUAAAUUUUUGAAAUAGUUCAUAAUGGAACAGUCAAAGAAGAAGUUCUUGCCUGUGUUACAAGGUGUGAAGUUGAGUAAGACUCAAGACCCGACCAUUGCAGAAAAUAGAAAGAGAAUGAAAAGUCAUUCCCUAUGCCUCAGUCAUAGGUUCUAUAAAGUAUACUAUGCUGUGAACUAGACCUAUUGUAUACCUUGCUCUGUGUUUGGCAAAGGAAUACAAUUUUGAUCUAAUAAGUAGAUCACUGGACAUGGGUCAAGAAUAUCCUUAGUGAGGACUAAGGAGAUGUUUCUCGAUUAUGGAGGUGAUAAAAGAGCCCGUCGUAAAAGUUACAACGAUGCAAGUUUUUUACACCAAUCCAGAUGACUCUAAGUCUCAAUCUGGAUACAUAUUGAAAGUGGGAGCAAUUAGCUAGAGUAGCUCCGUGCAGAGCAUUGUGGACAUAGAAUAUUUGCGAAAUACAUACGGCUCUUAAUAUGACAGACCCGUUGACUAAGCUUCUCUCACGAGCAAAACAUGAUCAUACCUUAGUACUCUUUUGGGUGUUAAUCACAUAGCAACAUGAACUAGAUUAUUGACUCUAGUAAACCCUUUGGGUGUUGAUCACAUGAUGAUGUGAACUAUGGGUAUUAAUCACAUGCAGAUGUGAAUAUUGGUGUUAAAUCACAUAGCGAUGUGAACUAGAUUAUUGACUCUAGUGCAAGUGGGAGACUGAAGGAAAUAUGCCCUAGAGGCAAUAAUAAAGUUAUUAUUUAUUUCCUUAUUUCAUGAUAAAUGUUUAUUAUUCAUGCUAGAAUUGUAUUAACCGGAAACAUGAUACAUGUGUGAAUACAUAGACAAACAUAUAGUCACUAGUAUGCCUCUACUUGACUAGCUCAUUAAUCAAAGAUGGUUAUGUUUCCUAACCAUUGACAUGUGUUGUCAUUUGAUUAAUGGGAUCACAUCAUUAGGAGAAUGAGGUGAUUGACAUGACCCAUCCCGUUAGCUUAGCACUUGAUCGUUUAGUAUUCUGCUAUUGCUUCCUUCAUGACUUAUACAUGUUCCUGUAACUAUGAGAAUUGUGUAACUCCCGUUUACCGGAGGAACACUGGGUACUACCAAACAUCACAAUGUAACUGGGUGAUUAUAAAGGAGUACUACAGGUGUCUCCGAAGGUACAUGUUGAGUUAGCAUAAUUCGAGAUUAGGUUUUGUCACUCCGAUUGUCGGAGAGGUAUCUCUGGGCCCUCUCGGCAAUGCUCAUCACCUAAGCCUUGCAAGCAUGUAACUAAUGAGUUAGUUAUAAGAUGAAGUAUUACAGAACGAGUAAAGAGACUUGUCGAUAACGAGAUUGAACUAGGUAUUGGAUACCGACGAUCGAAUCUCGGACAAGUAACAUACCGAUGACAAAGGGAACAACGUAUGUUGUUAUGCGGUUUGACCGAUAAAGAUCUUCGUAGAAUAUGUAGGAACCAAUAUGGGCAUCCAGGUCCCGCUAUUGGUUAUUGACCAGAGAUGUGUCUCAGUCAUGUCUACAUCGUUCUCGAGCCGUAGGGUCCGCACACUUAAGGUUUCGAUGACAGUUAUAUUAUGAGUUUAUGUAUUUUGAUGUACCGAAGGUUGUUCGGAGUCCCGGAUAUGAUUACGGACAUGACGAGGAGUCUCGAAAUGGUCGAGACAUAAAGAUUGAUAUAUUGGACGGAUAUAUUUGGACACCGGAAAGGUUCCGGAGAAGUUUGGAGCCCCGGGAGGUUACCGGAACCCCCCGGGAGGUAUAUGGGCCUUAUUGGGCCCAUGUAGGAGGAAGAGAGAAGGAGCAAGGGAAGGGGGCGCGCCCCCCCAAGCCCAAUCCGAAUUGGGGAGGGGGCCGCCCCCCCCCUUUCCUUUCUCCUUCCCCCUCUUCCUAUUACUACUACUACUACUACUUCCUAAUACUAGUACUCUUUCCUUCCCCCUCCAAAUAAGAUAAGGAAAAGAGAGGGAAACCUACUUGGAGUAGGUUUCCCCCUCCUCAUGGCGCGCCCCCCUAGAGCCAGCCACCUCCUCCCUCCCUCCUUUAUAUACGGGGGUAGGGGGCACCCUAGAACACACAAGUUGAUCAUUGAUCGUUCCUUAGCCAUGUGCGGUGCCCCCCUCCACGAUAUUACACCUCGGUCAUAUUGUAGCGGUGCUUAGGCGAAGCCCUGCAACAGGAGAACAUCAAGAUCGUCACCACGCCGUCGUGCUGACGGAACUCCCCCUCGGUGCCUCUACUGGAUCGGAGAUCGAGGGUCGCGUGUCAAGAACUCGGAGGUGCCGGAGUAACGGUACUUGGAUCGGUUGAACCGGAGGACGUACGACUACUUCCUCUACGUUGCGUCAACGCUUCCGCUUCGGUCUACGAGGGUACGUAGACAACACUCUCCCCUCGUUGCUAUAUCAUCACCAUGAUCUUGCGUGUGCGUAGGAAAUUUUUUGAAAUUACUAUGUUCCCCAACAAUGUAGUGCUGAAAGUUUAAUGCUUACAAAAGACUUGCUGAAAUAGUGAAAAAUAUGGAGUCACCAAGCUGGCUAAGAAACUCCCAAAGUCCACUAGCAAAUCCAAGAUCUAAUCCUGUUACACACAUCAUAACAAUUUAAGAUAAUUAGGAUAAGGAUAGUAGGCAAUGAAAAAGAAAGAGCCCAAAAAACAAUCACAACAGAAAAAUAAUAAAAACCUAGUCCUAGAAGAAAAUAAAUCCUAAAAGAAAAGAAAUCCUAAAAUCUGGAGCAAGUCCUAGCAGUAGUAGUCCAAAUAAAAGGUAACAAUGAUAUUGCACGAAUAGACCUUCCUAAAAUAGGAAUGAUAAUCUACUGUCAAUAACCAUUGAAUAAAACAGAUUUACCAACAAAAUCUAAAAGGAGACCUGCCUAUCAGAUUCAAACAGUUUAUCAUUUUCUAAAGCCAUAAGCACAACAAUCAUGAUCAGAACUAACACUACUUCAGAGAAAUAACCAAUUAAGCACCAAAAAAAGCAAAUAAACACUAAUCAUCAGGCACUCUCCUACUACAACUAACCAAAUAAUCAGUACUAAUACAGCUAACAAUGGCAUAGCAUGGUUAAUAAGGCCACCGAUUUACCUACCAGCAUCCUUUGAAGCAAGGAUAAGGACCCAAAUAAUCAGUACUAAUACAUAGGACAGUAGUUCGACAAUUCUAUCAAGAAAUCAUAACAGAGCACUAAAUCCUUAGUCAUCCUCCAGGAACACUAUUGAACAAUUUAUAACGACCAAAAACAAUAUGCAGGAGCACCAAUUUGUAUGACCAAAUGGUAGCUACAUGUAUGGAAAUCAUAACAACAUGUGAUUUGGACGCAUCUAUCUAUAAAUGGCCAUUACUUAUAUCUCUAUCUGAGAAACCUUAGGAACCCUAUGGUUAAUUGAAGAUAAGCAUGGCAGGAAUUGAAGGUAUGGCAGCAAACUGACAACAAGAAGCAGCAGCCGCGUGACGGCGGCGGCGGCAACGCACGAGCACGUGGGGCCCGGCGUCCGCGCACGAGCGCGCGGGAAAGGCGGCCAGAAGAAGCAACAGCAGCGGCACGACGGGGCGGCGGCGGCGAGCUCCUGCUCCUAACCCUAGGUCGCUGCCCCGUGGGGGCAUGGGGAUGAGCGGGGGAGAGAGGGAGGGAGGGACAGAGACUAACCGUCGUCGAUGAGCAGCAGCCGCGCGGGGAGGCUCGCGCCGCCGUCGAGGAGCGCAUCCGUCGAGCAGAUACCUCCACAGACGGUGAGGCCGCGGUGGCCGGAGGUGGAAGAAGGCGCAGACGGUGAGGAGGAGUCCGGCGAGGGUCGGGGCGGCGGGGGUGGGGGCGCGUGGGCGCGGGGGCGGCGGGGGUGGAGUCCGGUGAGGGUCGGGGCGGUGGCGUCGUGGGUCGGGGCAGCGCGCGGGUGGAUCUGGUGGCGAGGGAGAGAGGGUCGAAGGGGAUCUGGCGAGGGAGAGGGAGGAUAGCUAGGGGGAGGGUUUUAAUGGCGCACCACCCUGCCAAGCGCCAUAAGUAUGACUAUUCUAAUGGCGCACCUCCCCUCGGUGCGCCAUUAGAAUUUUGUUUUAAUCUAGCCCACUAACCAUAUCUACAGCCUAACCCUAUCUACAACAGAAACCAUCCACUAGCCCGACUGGUCAGCACGUAGCACACACCAGGAGGUCCUGGGUUUGAUUCCCAGGCUCCCCAAUAUUUUUUAUGCAUUUUAAAUGUUGUUUUUGAUAUUUAUUUGUGUUUAAAUAUGUUCAAACUUGUUUAAAUCAUAACAGUAAUAUUUUUUAUAAAAACAGUAAUAUUUUUUUUUAAAAUAUGUUCAAAUUUGUUACUUGAAAAUAUCANNNNNNNNNNNNNNNNNNNNNNNNNNNNNNNNNNNNNNNNNNNNNNNNNNNNNNNNNNNNNNNNNNNNNNNNNNNNNNNNNNNNNNNNNNNNNNNNNNNNNNNNNNNNNNNNNNNNNNNNNNNNNNNNNNNNNNNNNNNNNNNNNNNNNNNNNNNNNNNNNNNNNNNNNNNNNNNNNNNNNNNNNNNNNNNNNNNNNNNNNNNNNNNNNNNNNNNNNNNNNNNNNNNNNNNNNNNNNNNNNNNNNNNNNNNNNNNNNNNNNNNNNNNNNNNNNNNNNNNNNNNNNNNNNNNNNNNNNNNNNNNNNNNNNNNNNNNNNNNNNNNNNNNNNNNNNNNNNNNNNNNNNNNNNNNNNNNNNNNNNNNNNNNNNNNNNNNNNNNNNNNNNNNNNNNNNNNNNNNNNNNNNNNNNNNNNNNNNNNNNNNNNNNNNNNNNNNNNNNNNNNNNNNNNNNNNNNNNNNNNNNNNNNNNNNNNNNNNNNNNNNNNNNNNNNNNNNNNNNNNNNNNNNNNGGCGGCGGUAGAGCGGGGGAGGGUGCGGGGGGUGCCCGUUGGUGGCGGUGGAGCGGGGGAGGGUGCGGGGGGCCGGGUGCUCAUCGGCGGCGGUGGAACGGGGGAGGGUUGUGGUGGGUCGUCGACGGCGGUGGAGGUAGCGGGGGAGGGUGCGGGUGGGAUCAAGAUGGAGGGGGAUCGAGAUCGAGAUGGAGGGGGAAUCGAGAUCGAGAUGGAGGGGGAUCGAGAUCAAGUGUCCUCAUGAAUUCAAAAAGUGCCCAUGAAAUUUAAAAAUAUUCAUGAUAUCAAAAAGUGCCCAUGAAAUACAAUUGAGAAAUGAAGACUACGAUUUAAAUGCAAUCGAUCUUAGCUAGCUAUCUGUUCACAAUCUUCUUGCCGUUCUUUUUCGCAAAUGGAGUUCUUUUGUGGAACGGACGUCCUUUAGGUAGGGUGGUCCUGCUUCUUCUUGUGGUGUGUGCUGCUACUUCAUCGUCGUCGUCACGUUCGAUCUUCAGGUCGCCGUACUUGUCGAAGUCUUGCUCAUUGGCUACUCCAUCCAUUCCGAUGAUCUUCCUUUUGCCUCUCCUCACGACAACACGACUGGGCUUUGACGGGUCGGUAAUGAAGAAGCAUUGGUCCACUUGGGAAGCCAGUACCCAUGGCUCAUUUUUCGCGGUGACGUUUGCGCCCGCGGUCUUGGAUUUGUGUUCGGGUAUAACCAUGGUGGUGAAAUACCGGUCUUCUUUUAGGACGCUCUUGGCCCAUCUGACACGGAACAUCGGGGCCUUCUCUCCAGCGUAGCUCAGCUCCCAGAUCUCUUCGAUCCUUCCGUAGUAUCUGUCCUUGUCGUUACCGGUGUAGGAUUCCAUCGUUACCCCGGAGUUCUGAUAACCAUCGCUCUUCAUGUCCUUGUCCUCGGUGUAGAAUGUGUAGUCGUUCAUAUCGUACGCCUCAUAGGUCAUCAGUUUGUGCUCGGCGCCCUGUGACAAGGCGAAUAUGAGUUGUUCUUCCGCGGAAGAAUCUUCAUGUAAAGGGUACGACAGAAGCUUCUGCUUGAACCAACGCGUGAAACAUGAGUUGUGCUCUUCGAGUAUAUCUCCGUCCGUCCUCUGUUGGCCUCGGUCAUUGUACGUCUUCUCAAUAAAGGUUUUGUGCUCUAUCACCCAAGGAUCGACCACGUCUAUGUGUUGUAGCGCGACUAGGUUUGCUCUUUCAAAGUCGGCGAGUCGACCCUCGAAGUCGACAUGCAUUUCGCGGCGACCCUCACGGUGACCCCAUCCAGCGAGCCUGCCGAGGUGCCUGUUGACGGGCAGACCAACGGGGUUCUCGAUGCCUAGAUAAUUCGUGCAGUAGGAGAUGCACUCUUCGGUCAGGAAGCCCCUGGCUAUACUUCCCUCUGGACGUGACAUGUUGCGAAUGUAUCCUUUGAUGACACCAUUCAUCCUUUCGAACGGCAUCAUGCUGUGCAGGAACGUCGGCCCGAGUUGGAUGAUAUCCUCCACGAUAUGGACCAGCAGAUGCACCAUAACGUCGAAGAAUGCGGGCGGGAAGUACAUCUCAAGCUCACAUAGUAUCACCACGAUCUCUUCCAGUAGCCUUCUGAGUUGCCUCCCGCCAAUCGACUUUCGAGAGAUGACGUCGAAAAAGUUGCAUAGGCCAAAUAGCGUUUCACGGACGUGCACGUCCAUGAUCCCACGGAUUGCAACUGGAAGUAUCUGCGUCAUCAGCACGUGACAGUCAUGAGACUUCAUCCCGCUGAACUUCUGCUUCGCUGGGUCUAGGUAUCUGCUUAUCUUCCCCGCGUAACCGUAAGGAAGUUUUACUCCUAGGAGGCAGGUGCAAAACUGCUCGAUCUCCUCCUGACUUAGAGUGAAGCAUGCGGGAGGGUAGUCAUUUCCGGUCUUCUUGGCCUUUUUGCCUUUGCGACGACUUUCUGUGUCCUGCUUCGCCUCAUCAUCAUCAUCAUCAUCAUCAUCAUUAGCGUGAAGCUCCUGCCCGAUGCCCAUUGAUUUUCAAGUCUGCCCAUGCUUUCAGCCCAUCUUUGGUCCUCUCUGGCAUCUUGAGCAGGGUACCAAGCAGACUCUCGCACACGUUCUUCGUGAUAUGCAUGACAUCAAGGCUUUGAGGCACACGGUGGAUCUUCCAGUACGGCAAGUCCCAGAAAACAGACCUCGUUUUCCAUACCUUCAGCAGCGGCUCUGGCGCCUUUCGCUUCUUUCCCGGCUCUGGCGCCAUUUGCUUCUUUCCCGGCAGUGGGCAGUCUUUCCAAUUUUUCAACAGCUCGUCUAUUUCCUCGCUGCUCCUCGUACACGGGUGUUUUCGGGGUUCGGUUUCACCAUCGAACAGAUCCUUGCGUUUCCUCCACGGGUCAUCGUCGCGAAGCCACCUUCGAUGUCCCAUGAACACGGUUUUCGAAGACCCGGGAACUCUAUCUAGCUGGCGAUACAUUGUGUCAUCCAUGCACCUUACGCAUCCAGAAAAUCCGUGGACUACCUGCCCCGUGAGAUAUCCGUAACCGAGAUAGUCGUGCACCGUCGUCAGCAGUGCGGCUCUCAUAGGGAAAUAUUCUUUCUCUGCGGCGUCCCAUGUAUUGGCUGGCGUUUUCCAAAGUGUGUCUAGCUCCUCCUUCAGCAGCCCCAGAUACAGAUUGAUGUCGUUCCCUGGUUGUUUCGGCCCUUCAAUUAGCAUACUCAUGUGAAUGUACUUCCUCUUCAUGCACAACCAGGGGGGAAGGUUGUACAUCGACACAAACACAGGCCAGGUGCUAUGUGUGCUUCCCUGGCUGCCAAACGGAUUGACUCCAUCGGUGCUCGUGCCCAGCAUGAUGUUCCUUGAAUCCUUCCCAAAUUCUGGGUAUUCAAAGUUCAACGCUUGCCACUGGCUCGCAUCCUUAGGGUGACUCAGCAUCUUGUUUUUUAUUUAUCUCCGGAUCAUUUACGUCAUCUUCCCGCUUCUUCUCCUCCCUAUCCGCGUGCCAACGCAGGAGCUUUGCUACCUUAGGGUCCGCGAAAUACCGCUGCAGACGAGGAGUGAUCGGAAAGUACCACACCGAUUUUCGAGGAGCUUUCUUCCUCUUCUUGUAUCGAGUGACGCCGCACACCGGACAUAUGGUAGACUCCGCGUGCUUGUCCCGAUAAAUGAUACAAUUGUUCAUGCACACAUGGUAUUUCACGUGCGGUAAAUCCAGAGGACACACGAUUUUCUUCGCCUCCUUGAAACUGGUCAGGCACUUGUUCCCCUUGGGAAGACGUUCGUGCCAGAAUGACAUGUUCUUGUCGAAGCAUGCGUCGGUCAUUUUGUGUUUUACCUUCAUCUCCAGAGCCAUGAGCGUUACUUUCAGGCGGGUAUCCUUGGGCCUGCAUCCUUCAUACAAUGGAGUAACCGCGUCUAUCUCCAGUUGAUCCAACUUGGCUUUCUCUCGGGCGGCAGCUCUUGCGUUAUCCGUCUGCUUGAGAAGCAGCUCUUGAAUAUGAGGGUCCUGCACCUAGCCUCCAUCGUCGUCUGCUCCGGCAUCUUCAUCUUCAUGAUCAUGCCCUUCGUCUUGAUCUUCCUCAUCAUCAUGUACGACAUCUUCUACAUGAUGACUAUGUACAUCUUCACCGUCGUGCUCAUGUCCUGGAGAUUCUUCGUCUUCUCGCCCGCCCUCACCGUGGUGGUACUUGUCUUGUUGCCCUUCCUCAAUUCUUGCCCGGCCCCCAUGGAUGACUUCAUAGUCAUCUUCAUCACCUUGGCACCGAUAGCCAUCCAUGAAACCACACAAGAGCAGGUGGUCCCGCACCUGCCCGGAAUCCGGGUCCGUAAUAAGGCUCUUCAGCUUGCAUCUUCGACACGGACAUCUUAUCUCUGUCUCGUUCUUUUGAAGCAUCUCGGCCUUCGCGGAGCUCAAAAACCUAUUCACGAUGCCUUCAGUCAUCGUGCGGACCAUGGUCGCCUGCGGGGUAGAGCAAAACGAUAUUUUAGAACCAAGAAAAAAUUUGGCAUGACCUUCCCUAAAAAUAGGACCAAAAAGAAUGCAUAGUGCCAAAAUUCUCGCCGAAAUGGAAAUGAAUCAAAACAUUCCGGCAAAAUAUUGGCAACUAUCGCAUUUCAAAUACCGGUACCUUCAAACACAAACAUAUAUGCAACACCACAAACACAUGCAACACCACAAACAUACAUAGAUCUAGCUAGGCCACAAAAAGUGCAUGUGCACGUUGUUGGAGCGAGCGAGGGAGAAAAAAAAGUAGAUCUACAUCAUGAAGAUAGCUUUCCCCUUACUUACCUAUCAAAAAAAGGUAAUUUCACCACUUAAUUUUGAUGAAUCUAUGGUGGAAAUGAGGUGAGGAGGAGGAGAUGGCCGAAAGCUUGGAGAAGGAGGUGGAGGGAAUGAAGUGGGGAAAGUGAGUGGGUAGGUGUGGGGCUGUCCAAAAUAUCUUGUUGGGGUCCCAGGUUACUAAUGGCGCACCACCAGCAAAUGCNNNNNNNNNNNNNNNNNNNNNNNNNNNNNNNNNNNNNNNNNNNNNNNNNNNNNNNNNNNNNNNNNNNNNNNNNNNNNNNNNNNNNNNNNNNNNNNNNNNNNNNNNNNNNNNNNNNNNNNNNNNNNNNNNNNNNNNNNNNNNNNNNNNNNNNNNNNNNNNNNNNNNNNNNNNNNNNNNNNNNNNNNNNNNNNNNNNNNNNNNNNNNNNNNNNNNNNNNNNNNNNNNNNNNNNNNNNNNNNNNNNNNNNNNNNNNNNNNNNNNNNNNNNNNNAUACUAAUGGCGCACCGGGUAACGGGGUGAAACGAUGCGCCAUUAAUAGUUUUGCAAAAAAAAGAAUAAAAUAAUUUGACAGUAAUGGCGCACUGUCUGCUUGGUGCGCCAUUACUACUUAGAACUAGUGAUGGCGCACUUCGACCUGAUGCGCCAUUAGUAUGUAUGGAAAAAUGGAAAAAAAUAAUUUAAUACUAGUGGCGCACCCUGUUUCUGGUGUGCCAUUAGUGUCUUCCACACUAAUGGCGCAUCACCAACUGGUGCGCCAUUAGUAUAUAGUAGUGGCGCACUGCUUCCAUGGUGCGCCAUUAGUAUCAAUCCUAUCUAUAGCCCUUUUCCUAGUAGUGGCCCGUCUUGGGUCUUCGAGGUGUUGGCCCCCUCCAUGGACGGCUGUCCCGCCGUCACUUGGAGGGGGAAUCGUGCGUGUCGGGUAGAACCGGAGGGAAUCUAUUGGUUGGUUGGGUCAAGGCCGUGUUCGGGGAUGUUCCUAUGGGAUGACUAUCAGGGCCGUCUCCGAAAAUUUGGGGCCCCAGGGCAAAAAUCAAAAUAGGACCCUAAAUUUACAUCAGGGUCGAACUAAAUAAUCACACAAUACAUAUAUGAUGAUUUUCCAACAACCAAAAAAAUCAAGAACUACUGAGUUCAAACUUAAUUGUGUCCUAAAUCUAGCCUCGUUCGGCACUUCCCACUUAACUUAAUCAAAACAAAUGAACUUAUUACCUGAUAGUGGAAGACCAGAGGUGAUGGCGCUCGUAAUUGACAGGCCGUGGGCGAUCGACGGAUGCCGAAGCAGGCGUGCAUUCAGGUAGAUCUGGCACCAUAGUCUCUGGUGGGCGAUCGGAGGAAGCAAAACCAACGGGCGUUGUUGGGGCCUGUUAGCAAUCAGUGCACCAUGGCAGAAAAACGAUCGAUUGAUCGAUUCUCUAGACCUCAUGGGCCUGUUAUACAUGCUGUUUUGGGCGAAUGGGCUCAUGAGCUUUAUUUUUCCUGAUUUUAAACCUACAGCUAAUAGACUAAUACUUAGUGAUCAGGGGCCCCAAAUAUUUGGGGGCCCUGGGAGGUCGCCCACCUCGGCCCCCUCCAUCGACGGCCCUGAUGACUAUUCACAACCAGUUGGAAGAGUCCACUGGUCAAAGCCCAUCCGGCGAAAGUCAAAGGCCUAGAUCUCCUGGCCAAGGGGCUUCGUGGUGGCCUUCCGGUUGUGGCAAUGCCACCGAAAUAGCGCACGCGGUCUUGAUGCAUGUGUGAAAGUGACGUGGCAUGCAUAGACGCCCGUCUUGGGUCUCCGGGGUGUUGCCCCCUCCACGGAUGCCAGUGCCGACGUCAUUUGGAGGGGGGGAGAACGUGUGCAUCAGGUAGAACCAGAGGGAAUCUAGUGGUUGGUUGGGUCUAGGCCGUGUUCGUGGAUGUUCCUAUGGGCUGACCUAUCGUAACCAGGUGGAAGAGUCCACUGGUCAAAGCCUGUCCGACGAAAGUCAAAGGCCUAGAUCUCCUGGUCAACGGGAAUAGGGUUAGUCCUGUCGGUGGGGCUUCAAGGUGUAGCAAUGCCAUCGAAACACCGUACCGUGUCCCAAUUCAUGUGUGAAAGUGAUGUGGCAUGUGUAGACGCCCGUCUUGGGUGUCUGGGGUGUUGUCCCCCUCCACGGACGGCAAUGCCACCGUCGCUUGGAGGGGGGAUCGUGCGUGUUGGGUAUAGAACCGGAUGCAAUAAAUGUCUCAAAUAUUCCAGGCGGGCCCGAAAAAUGCCAUGUCUUGGCACAUGUCAUGUAAUGCCCCCCUUUGAGAGAAAGACAAGUUUCGAGGUCAAUGGAGCAACGGGUAGCACACUUCCUUCACAAACCGGACACAUUCCCUCUUGAUAGUCAGAUACUACCUAGGAGAGGGUGCAAUCUACAAGUGGCUUUCGGUCAGGCUUCUACGAAACACGCCCAAACUUUUACUAGACCCUACAAGGAACAUAUGAACAUCGUCCCAGGUCCUGAGGAUUUCCGACAUCGUAUGUUUUCUGUGGAUUUUAACAGCUAGAUCCGGCAUGCCGCCGAGGUACAUUCGCCCCCCGGUGGUGGGUCCUUCCCCUCCUUUUGUUGCACUAGGUAUACACAUUCCGAAAAGACAUCAUAUACGAUUGUACAAACCACUUUUGGACAUCAUUUCAGGUGGCCGCCAUGCAUAUCUGUAAUUUCCCGCAUUGAAACCCUACGGAUGCAAUAAAUGUCUCAAAUAUUCCAAGCGGGCCCGAAAAUGCCAUGUCCUGGCACAUGUCAUGUAAUACCCCCCCCCCUUUAAGAGCACGAGAAGUUUCGAGUUCAACAGAGCAACGGGCAACACCCUUCCUUCACAAACCACACACUUUCCCUCCCGAUAGCUAGAUACUACCUCGAAGAUGGUGCAAUUUACAAAGGGCCUCCGGUCAGCCUUUUGCGAAACGCGCUCAGAUUUUUACCACACCCUACAAGGGCUAUAUGGUGACACCAUGCCCGGUCCCGAGGAUUUCCAGUGCCGUAUGAUUUUCCGUGGAUUUUAAUGGUUAGAUCCAGCAACAAGUAUUCAGUAGGGUUUUCACACAAAAAAAUAAUCUUUUUCGGCAACCAGAAAUUGAAAACUAAAUUUUGCUUGAAAAUAAAAUGAAAACUCCCUUCAUCAAAAUUGUUUUCCAUUCUAAGAUGCACACUUAUACACAAUAUGAUAUCACUAUAACUAUGCCAUGAAUUAGGCCAUAACAUUCGUCAUUUUGCGGAUGUUUUUAUUUAUUUUUAAAUGCAAACAAGGUGUAAAUAAAUAUGAAAUUUUCCAUGGUAUUGGUUUAUUAUUCCUAGAAGAUUUGGAUUUUUUUUAUUUUUUACUAAAUUUUAACAUGAGUAUUUCCUGUUCAAAAAACUGUGCAAAGAAACACAAAAUCUGUGCUGGCUUCCUAUUGGUUGGAAGCAACCUCCCACGGAUCGGUGACGUGGCAGGGCAGCCUACCCUACCACGACACCAGCCCCACCUCUCCCUCCUUGCCACCUCUCUCCUUCCUCUCUCUCUCGUCUCUCCCUACCCCCGCCGCCGCUGCCUAUGCCGCACGAUUCCGGCGUGUUCCGGCGAGCCUCGCCAACACGCAGCACAGAUGCGAGCCCCCUGCCUCCGCUCUUCCCUUCCCUCCGGCCAGAUGCGCCUCUCGUGGCCCCGAGAGCUCAGCCACGACCCCUUCCGAUGGCUAGGGUUCCGAGGGUGGCGUCCCCUCCAACUCCGGCGCGGCGACGGCGACUCUGCUCCGCCCUCUCCGAAGCCCACCGCAAGUCCCAUGGGCGGCUCCGCCUCGUGGAUGGUACUCCCUGCGUUUUGAUUUUCGGUUUGCCAUUUUUUUCGGCCCUGAACGAAAUGGCCGAAUUUCGGUCAUUUCAAAAAUUUCGGCAAAAUUUCGGACGAAAUUACGAAAUCAAAUUUUGAAUUUUCAGACAAAAAUUGGCCGAAAUUUGGCCGAAAUUCGGCUGAAAUUUGACCAAACAUUCGCAUAAAUUUGAAAAAGCAAAGCAAAAGCAUAGCAGCCCAACAGCCAUCAGGAGUAAUCAUAUAAUUUUUAGCAAAUUAGCUCUAGGGAUUAAAAUAAGAGCGUCAGUCCAAUAUAAACUUACAGUCCACAACCAUCACAUUAGUUCUAAACUUACAGUCCACAACCAUCACAUCAUAGUUCAAAGUUUAAAUACUUCAGUACAACCAACUCUAGGAAUUUAAAGGACUUCACGUAGAAACAUCUCCAAAAGACAGCCAUCAAAGCAUCACACCGAACAGCAAAAGGCAACCAUCAAAGCAUCACAACGAACAACAACUCCAAAAGAAAUCAUCACUAGCUCCAGCUUCCAUGCUCCAAGCCUCCAACUAGCAUCAUUCUCCAAGCUCCAGCUAGCUCCAAGCUCCAGCU
rnacentral:lncRNA from 1 species